CCUACGGGUGGCAGCAGUGAGGAAUAUUGGUCAAUGGUCGGGAGACUGAACCAGCCAUGCCGCGUGCAGGAGGACGGUACUGAGAGUUGUAAACCUCUUUUGUCCGAGGACAAACACAGAUACGCGUCUCUGUCUGAGAGUAUCGGACGAAUAAGCAUCGGCUAACUCCGUGCCAGCAGCCGCGGUAAUACGGAGGAUUCGAGCGUUAUCCGGAUUUAUUGGGUUUAAAGGGUGCGUAGGCGGUCUGUUAAGUCAGGGGUGAAAUCCCGAGGCUCAACUCCGGAAUGGCCUCUGAUACUGUCAGGCUCGAGAUGGGUAGCGGUAGGCGGAAUGUGCGGUGUAGCGGUGAAAUGCAUAGAGAUCGCACAGAACUCCGAUUGCGAAGGCAGCAUGCC
rnacentral:rRNA from 1 species